UACGGAGGGGGCGAGCGUUAUUCGGAAUUACUGGGCGUAAAGCGCACGUAGGCGGCUUUGUAAGUUAGAGGUGAAAGCCCGGGGCUCAACUCCGGAAUUGCCUUUAAGACUGCAUCGCUAGAAUUGUGGAGAGGUAAGUGGAAUUCCGAGUGUAGAGGUGAAAUUCGUAGAUAUUCGGAAGAACACCAGUGGCGAAGGCGACUUACUGGACACAUAUUGACGCUGAGGUGCGAAAGCGUGGGGAGCAAACAGG
rnacentral:rRNA from 1 species